AGAGGUUUAGGUUAACAGAAGACCAAGGGCCUUCAAAGUCCUAAGUGGGGGUGAAAAUCCCCCAACCUCUG
rnacentral:tRNA from 1 species